rnacentral:tRNA from 1 species
ACCUUAGUAGUGCAUCAGGUAGCACACCAGGUCGGAAAUCUUUGCAUGCGGGUUGGAGUCUUGCCUGAGGUC